UCAAACUUGGUCAUUUAGAGGAAGUAAAAGUCGUAACAAGGUUUCCGUAGGUGAACCUGCGGAAGGAUCAUUAACGUAUCUAAAGGCGUUCGACCGACGCCCUGCUCCGACCGAAAGGCCGUGCAGCGGGCGAAGGACGGCGUCUAAACCUUCACAAACCCACUGUGCACCUUUGCGGCAGAGGCCUGGGGACGAGAGUCCUCUCGCCGACGCCGUCUCUUACAAACACUAGUAACCAAGAAUGUCAAGCGACACUGUCGCCCAUUAAACAUAACAACUUUCAACAACGGAUCUCUUGGCUCUCGCAUCGAUGAAGAACGCAGC
rnacentral:misc_RNA from 1 species